rnacentral:rRNA from 1 species
GCGGUAAAAGCUCAAAUUUGAAAUCUGGCUCUUUUAGAGUCCGAAUUGUAAUUUGUAGAAGAUGCUUCGGGUGUGGUUCCGGUCUAAGUUCCUUGGAACAGGACGUCAUAGAGGGUGAGAAUCCCGUAUGUGACUGGAUACCUAUGCUCAUGUGAAGCUCUUUCGACGAGUCGAGUUGUUUGGGAAUGCAGCUCAAAAUGGGAGGUAUAUUUCUUCUAAAGCUAAAUAUUGGCCAGAGACCGAUAGCGCACAAGUAGAGUGAUCGAAAGAUGAAAAGCACUUUGGAAAGAGAGUUAAACAGUACGUGAAAUUGUUGAAAGGGAAGCGCUUGCAAUCAGACUUGCACUUGGUGUUCAUCAGGGUCUCGUACCCUGUGUACUUCAUCAAGUUCAGGCCAGCAUCAGUUUGAGUGGUUAGAUAAAGGCUUAGAGAAUGUGGCCCUCUUCGGGGGGUGUUAUAGCUCUAGGUGCAAUGUAGC